rnacentral:tRNA from 1 species
GGCCCAAUGGUCUAGUAGUAUGAUACGUGCUUCGGGUGCACGGGGUCCCGGGUUCAAUUCCCGGUUGGGCCC